UGAAGCAGGUGCUGUGCUGGCCUCUGCUGGGCUUCAUCUCCUUUCCCCGUGACCUUGAGAGAGACAGGGACGUGAGGCUGCCAUCCCCCCGCUAUAUAGAUCACAGGACCAGGGGCUCCUGCACCCAAAGGGGGAAGUGUGUGGAGCUUCCGGGGCGUGAACGGGCAGUGGCCGCCCCCAAAACUCUCAGAGACAGAGUCCUGGGAGAUGGACUCGUCCCUCCUCGUCAGGGCACCGGGAAAGCCGAAGAAUUUAAUAGCAAAGCGCGUUUGGCUCGAGAGGAAAUGAGAUUUCUUUGUCAAGGACUGGACAAGCCUGGCCUCUGGCCCUGGAGGCAGAGCCCGGGGCUGACCCGUGGGCCCUCGCGGCUGCAGGGAGGGGCACAGAAGCAUGACUCAGGCCGCGGA